CGCUGAGGAGGUCGCUGAAUCAUAAAAAGCAGUGGAGGUCAGCUUGAAGAAAUCUCUGAACAGCUACCACCAAUAUAUCACCUGUAGAACCAGAGGACGAUACUUGACCACUUAUAUCACCAUCAAGAAUGUUUGCCAUGCCAUCCCACACCCACACUUUGGAAAGUCUGAUUAUCUGGCUCAACUUCUACAUCCAGCGUAUAGGCAGAGACCAAAGACUGCAGCACCUAUGGUGAGGAUCAAGAAGGCAUGGUCAAAGAAGAUGGAGAAGUGGUUUUAUGACCUCUCUGUGUCAUUGAACUGGACAAUAUUCAUGGAUUCAUCUUUGAAUUUGAAUGAAUACUCUAUGGUUGUCACCGAUUUCAUCAAGACCUGUGUACUUUUGAGAACAUACCCAAACCAAAAACUUUGGCAAACCAGGAGGUUUGUAGUCUGCUGAGGGCUGGAUCUAUGGCAUUCAAGAUUGGUGAUCCAGAACUAUACAAGGUGUCCAAGUACGACCUAUGGAAGGCUAUUUUAAGAGCAAAAUAAUAAUUCCAAUUGAGGUUAGAGAUGGAAUCAGAUGCACAUUGGCUCUGGCAGAGGUUGUAGGCCAUUACUUCUGACAAAGCAAAACCUAACAUCAUGAAUGGCAGUGAUGCAUCACUCCCAGAUGAGCUCAACGUCUUUUAUGCACACUGGACAAUGUUUCCCACCCUCUGCAUGCCACCCUUGCUGAACAGAGGAGCAAUUUUAGUAAUAGACUGACAACCUUGCUGCUCCAAAGAAUGCUAUUUGAGGUCAUUUCUACCCUCAGCCAUUAGGCUCUAUAAUGAGUCAACCUAUAGCCAGGGAAAUGAUCACCCUCUCCUGUUAGACUGUUUAUGGUAACUUAUUUUUUAUUCUUUCUACUUCUCUUCUAAAAUUUAUAUCUCUGUACUUAUACUGCUGUGACACUGUAAUUUCCUUUGGAAUCAAGUAUCAAAGGAGAAUAAAACUACCACCUGUGUGAAACCCUGCUGCA